rnacentral:rRNA from 1 species
UACGGGGGGAGCAAGCGUUGUUCGGAUUUACUGGGCGUAAAGGGCGCGUAGGCGGCCACCGCAAGUCGACUGUGAAAUCUCCGGGCUUAACCCGGAAAGGUCAGCCGAUACUGCGGGGCUAGAGUGCAGAAGGGGCAACUGGAAUUCUCGGUGUAGCGGUGAGAUGCGUAGAUAUCGAGAGGAACACCUGCGGCGAAGGCGGGUUGCUGGGCUGAUACUGACGCUGAGGCGCGAAAGCCAGGGGAGCGAACGGG